UCAUGAUGACAGUACCCUGGAAAGCUCUGGAAUAAAAAUACCUGGGCUUUAGGUCGUGGAGGUGAUGGUGGGCUCCUGCUCCACAUCCUGAUGGGACUCUCUGGAGCUGACAGAACCCUUUACUGCCUACAACUUGGGCCUGGUGCUUCUUUCAAGGUGUAUGUUUUAUGAGUUCAUGGCCACCUUGCUCCUGGCUGACUGUCACUACUUCUGCCAGCCAGUGGACUACAAUCCAGCAAGCUCAGGGUGAGGGUACAGAAGGAAGUGGGACAAUUAAGGCUGAAGAGGGAGGGUUGGUGGAAAGACCCUCAUAUAACAACCAGAACUGGAUCAAGACAAAGUCACCAAGCUUUCUGACGGGAGGCUGGGGACUGGCUGGUUAGGCACAGGCUUUGGAAUCAGAGGAGCUCAGACCUCAGUUUGGACAUCAUAUCUGCCAGUUACUGGCCAUGUGACAUACCUUUUUUUGAUCUCAAUUUUCUUAUCUAUGUAAUGGGGAUAGGAACACUUACUUUAUAAAAGGAAACUUUGGGGAAAGAUUGAAUUAGACAAUGUUUGAGUGUUUAGCUCUGAGACAGGCGCAUAUUACUGGUAUCUAAGUGGUAGUUAUUUCAUUAUUGCUAGCUGUUCUCAGUUUCAACUGGAAGUAGAACAAAAGGCUUCCUAGCAGCAAGAAAGCUAAGCUUUGACAGGUCACCGAGUAGUGAUAGGGAUGUUGAGUCACUGGGGUUCCAACAAGGAGCUAAAAGUCUUGCGAAUCAAAAUAUGGUCCACAGACCAGCAGCAUCAGCAUCGCUGAGAGCUUGUUCAACAAGCAAAAUCUGUGCCCCACCUCAUGCAGCAAGCACAAGGAUUAAGAAUCUACUUUUCAAUAAACAAGAUCUGCAUGUGCUUAGGAUUGAGCUGAGCACAUUUGGAAAGUCCUCCUUUGACCACUCCAAAGCUGUGCCACCUUAUUCCUGGGCCAACAAGCAGACCAGGUAGGUAGGCACUUUGGGAACACAAAGUGUGCAGGAACAGGGAGGGCUGAAUCCUGCCCUGCUGGGCAAGCUGUGCCACCAGCAGGACCAGAGUCUGAUGGAACUUCCCCUUCAUGCCCAGCAGAUGGCGAGCGUGUGCUGGUGGUGCUACUCAAAGGCUGCUGAGUCUCUAGGCAAGGCAGAAAAGAUGGGGACAGUGGUGACAACAGCAACCCCUGAUUGAGGGCUGGCUGGGUCAUAGUUACUUUCAUACAUAUAUCACCAUCUGGGGGAUAACCAUGUACAUGAGGUAUCCUCAUCUCUCUUACAAAUGAGAGAAGUGAUGCUCAGAGAGGUAAAGUGACUUGCUCGAGGUAACACAGACAGUAAGUGGUGAAGUGUGAUUUAAACUCAGACUUAUCUUAUCCUAGAGUAUAUAUAUUUACAUUCUGACUUACUGCUUAGCUACCAUGGUUCCCUAAUUCACAGGAAAUUUUUGUGCCUUUGGUUGGCUCUAAUUCUAGCCUUCCUAAGGAGGAAUGUGUUGGGUUCUUCUCCUGGUAUGGAAGGUACCUCCACCCUAAAGUGUAUUUAUUAAUAAACUUAUACAUAGUGCCUGCUGUGUGUCAGACCCUGGUCUAAGCAAUUUACAAAUAUUAACUUAUUUAAUCUUUCCCAAAACCCCACAGGUUAAGAUGCCAUCAUAAUUCCUCUCAUUUUACAGAUACAGAAAU